AGCGGCGGACGGGUGAGUAACACGUGGAUAACCUACCUAUAAGACUGGGAUAACUUCGGGAAACCGGAGCUAAUACCGGAUAAUAUUUUGAACCGCAUGGUUCAAAAGUGAAAGACGGUCUUGCUGUCACUUAUAGAUGGAUCCGCGCUGCAUUAGCUAGUUGGUAAGGUAACGGCUUACCAAGGCAACGAUGCAUAGCCGACCUGAGAGGGUGAUCGGCCACACUGGAACUGAGACACGGUCCAGACUCCUACGGGAGGCAGCAGUAGGGAAUCUUCCGCAAUGGGCGAAAGCCUGACGGAGCAACGCCGCGUGAGUGAUGAAGGUCUUCGGAUCGUAAAACUCUGUUAUUAGGGAAGAACAUAUGUGUAAGUAACUGUGCACAUCUUGACGGUACCUAAUCAGAAAGCCACGGCUAACUACGUGCCAGCAGCCGCGGUAAUACGUAGGUGGCAAGCGUUAUCCGGAAUUAUUGGGCGUAAAGCGCGCGUAGGCGGUUUUUUAAGUCUGAUGUGAAAGCCCACGGCUCAACCGUGGAGGGUCAUUGGAAACUGGAAAACUUGAGUGCAGAAAAGGAAAGUGGAAUUCCAUGUGUAGCGGUGAAAUGCGCAGAGAUAUGGAGGAACACCAGUGGCGAA
rnacentral:rRNA from 1 species